UGACACCGGAUGAACAGCGAGCUUGGGGAGAGGAAGAGACGCGGAUGACCGUGUGCCCCCGAGGAGAUCAAAGUCCCGGGGAAGAGCCGCAACCUCACCGUGCCUGGGAACUUUCAAUCUUGGACCGGUCCCACUGACACCCUCGGAGACAGUCAUUACUAUCGGUGGCUUGCAUUGUUUUUAGAUUCUCUCACAUUAUCUCUUUUGAUCCUGUAGACAUAGACAAACAAUUCAGCGAAGGAUCCAGAGAUGGUGGAAAAAGCAAAGUCAGGCUGACAAAUGAAGGGGUCCGCUUUGCAGCCCAGCUCCUCCCAGCAUGGUCCCUACCCUGGGAGCUACUUAAUACAUGUUCACAGAAUGACUCAGUCUUCCGGGCGAAGGGCACGAACAUGCCUGAUGCAGAGAGGUGUUCAAGCCACCCUUCAGCUAUCAGCCUAUCUCUUCCCUUCCUUUCCAUAUCAACCUUCAAAAAAGUAAUGGUUUGGCGUUCUCGUCAUGGCUCAGCAGCUACGAAUCUGACUAGCAUCCAUGAGGAGACAACCUGGUCGCCAUGGUCUAUUGUGCCUGAUGUCUGGAAUACCUCGCUUCUGCCCCCUCCUCAUACCUUUCCCAGAGGCUCUCACCAUCUCUUGCUAGGACUAUUGCAGUAGCCUUCUAACUUCUCUCUCAGUGUCCAAGCAUUCCAGCCCAUCUUCUGCAAGCCCACAAGGAAAAUCACUGAAACCCGCUCUUGAUUAUAUCAUUCAUCCGCUUGAGAGUGUCCAGUGGUUGAUUUCUCUGCUGCUUCCAGGAGAAAGUCCAAACUCUGGCCUGACAGGCCUGUGAAGAGCAAGGUUUAAAGACCAGAUCAUCCUUCAAUGUGGCCUAUUUUGAUUACUGACCCUGUACAGCCUAGCCCUCUUUCAGCCUAAUCUCCAGCCUUACACACUAGAGCCCCGCCCCCGGCCCCAUCCCCGCCCCUGCAAACACAUCAAGCACAUCCAGGACUCCAACCUUUGUGUAUGUAGCUCCUUCAACCUGGAAUGUACCCUCCAUCCCAUAGAAUUCCUUAAAGGCAAAGAGCGUCAAUCAUCUCUGUACAUCCAGCAUCUCCUAGCCUAGUACCUCGUACAUAAUAGGAACUCAGUCAUUUAUUUAUUUAUUUAUUUAUUUAUUUUUGCCCAUGACUGUGGCAUAAAGAAGUUCCCAGGCUAGGGAUUGAAUCCAAGCCACAACAGUAACCCGAGCCACAGUAGUGACACCACCAAGUCCUUAACCACUAGACCACCAGGGAACUCCUGGACUUAGUAAACUCUGAAUGAGGAGCUCUGACUUUAAAGAAGGCCCAGCUCAAGACACAUGUACUCCAAUGUUCACUGCAACACUAUUUACAAUAGCCAAGACAUGGAAACAACCUAAAUGUCAAUCAACAGAGGAGUGGAUCAAGAAGAUGUAGUACAUAUACACC